rnacentral:lncRNA from 1 species
GUUGUGGACUUUUCAUUUAUUUUUACAUCGUACAUACUGAUAGAAAUGCUAUUUAAAGACUUUGUUAGAAAAGAAUAGAAUUAUUGAGAAAGUGGAAUAAUUUAGUGUGACAUGUCACUUGAUAUUCAUGUUUUUUAUCGGAGUGAUGUGUAUUGAAUUAUAAGGUGUCUUCGUCGAGGUCCGCGUUCAGCGGUCUGUUUGAUUGUACAUAGAAUUGAAUAGAAUGUUUUUUGUUUUCAGAUGGUGUUACCUACAGCUUUGACAGGGUGACGAAUGAAGGAGAAGUAAUAUGACAUUGCACGAUGAUUCAUGUCAAUGAGUUCGAACAACCUUUUUAAAAGGAAAGGAUUUUUUCUAAUCAGAAUAUGGUGAGAACAAAUUACAAUUGAAGUAAUGUUUUGAUUUCUGAAAAUAGGAAAAUAAUGAAUGGGGAAAAUAUUGAUACUACACUAAAUUAUGUAUGUCUGUGUUGAGAAAGGCAGAAGAUGCCAAUAUGGCACGGUACUAAAAAAAAAAAAAAAAAAAAAAAAUCUGUGAUGGAAGCAGCUUUAUGUUCAAAUGAACCUAUUUAAAAGUAAUGCUAAUAAUUUUUUCCGUAAUUUCAUGAUGUUUUCUAUUGGAUGUGUAUAUUUAAUUUCAUUGAUGUGUUGAAAUAUGUCACAAAAAUCUUUUUGUCAUGGGAGAUUAAAUAAUGGUUGCAAUAUUUUUGUUUUGUUUUGUUUUAUCUAAAUUAAUAAAUAAAUAUAAUGUUGAAUGAUUUUGUAUACUAGUACAAAUGUAUACUUAAAUUUUAUGUAUGGUUAAAUUUUUUUAAUUUAAAUUUCUUUGUCUACAGUUCGAGGGACACUGAUUCCCUAGUGGUUUUCCACGUGGAUUGUAGGCAAAGGGAUUUUUCCUUUUCAAAGUGUGACUAAUGCUGUCUUUAGUACAAAUAAACAAUUUGUUAUUGGUUAAUAUAUUUUCAGCAGACAUGUGAAGAAUCGAGUGGAAAUACAAUUGUCAAUGUUCCUGAUUAUGAAGUAAAGAGUGUGUUUGAUUCAACAACAGUAAAGAAAGAGACAAGCCAGCAUAGUUUUACACUUGGA